rnacentral:rRNA from 1 species
CAGAUAUCAGGAGGAACACCGAUGGCGAAGGCAGAUCUCUGGGCCGUAACUGACGCUGAGGAGCGAAAGGGUGGGGAGCAAACAGGCUUAGAUACCCUGGUAGUCCACCCCGUAAACGUUGGGAACUAGUUGUGGGGUCCAUUCCACGGAUUCCGUGACGCAGCUAACGCAUUAAGUUCCCCGCCUGGGGAGUACGGCCGCAAGGCUAAAACUCAAAGGAAUUGACGGGGACCCGCACAAGCGGCGGAGCAUGCGGAUUAAUUCGAUGCAACGCGAAGAACCUUACCAAGGCUUGACAUAUACGAGAACGGGCCAGAAAUGGUCAACUCUUUGGACACUCGUAAACAGGUGGUGCAUGGUUGUCGUCAGCUCGUGUCGUGAGAUGUUGGGUUAAGUCCCGCAACGAGCGCAACCCUCGUUCUAUGUUGCCAGCACGUAAUGGUGGGAACUCAUGGGAUACUGCCGGGGUCAACUCGGAGGAAGGUGGGGAUGACGUCAAAUCAUCAUGCCCCUUAUGUCUUGGGCUUCACGCAUGCUACAAUGGCCGGUACAAAGGGCUGCAAUACCGCGAGGUGGAGCGAAUCCCAAAAAGCCGGUCCCAGUUCGGAUUGAGGUCUGCAACUCGACCUCAUGAAGUCGGAGUCGCUAGUAAUCGCAGAUCAGCAACGCUGCGGUGAAUACGUUCCCGGGUCUUGUACACACCGCCCGUCAAGUCAUGAAAGUCGGUAACACCUGAAGCCGGUGGCCUAACCCUUGUGGAGGGAGCCGUCGAAGGUGGGAUCGGUAAUUAGGACUAAGUC